UACGUAGGGUGCAAGCGUUGUCCGGAAUUAUUGGGCGUAAAGAGCUCGUAGGCGGUUUGUUGCGUCGGCUGUGAAAUCCCGAGGCUCAACCUCGGGUCUGCAGUCGAUACGAGCAAACUAGAGUGUUGCAGGGGAGAUCGGAAUUCCUGGUGUAGCGGUGAAAUGCGCAGAUAUCAGGAGGAACACCGGUGGCGAAGGCGGAUCUCUGGGCCGAUACUGACGCUGAGGAGCGAAAGCGUGGGGAGCGAACAGG
rnacentral:rRNA from 1 species